UACGUAGGGAGCAAGCGUUAUCCGGAUUUAUUGGGUGUAAAGGGUGCGUAGACGGAGAGGCAAGUUAGUUGUGAAAUCCCUCGGCUUAACUGAGGAACUGCAACUAAAACUACUUCCCUUGAGUGCUGGAGAGGAAAGUGGAAUUCCUAGUGUAGCGGUGAAAUGCGUAGAUAUUAGGAGGAACACCAGUGGCGAAGGCGACUUUCUGGACAGUAACUGACGUUGAGGCACGAAAGUGUGGGGAGCAAACAGG
rnacentral:rRNA from 1 species